AAACUCAAAGGAAUUGACGGGGGCCNGCACAAGCGGCGGAGCAUGUUGCUUAAUUCGACGCAACGCGAAGAACCUUACCAAGGUUUGACAUGCAGGGGAAAGCCGUAGAGAUACGGUGUCCGUAAGGGUCCUGCACAGGUGGUGCAUGGCUGUCGUCAGCUCGUGUCGUGAGAUGUUGGGUUAAGUCCCGCAACGAGCGCAACCCUCGUCCUAUGUUGCCAGCGGGUAAUGCCGGGGACUCAUAGGGGACUGCCGGGGUCAACUCGGAGGAAGGUGGGGAUGAGGUCAAGUCAUCAUGCCCCUUAAGUCUUGGGCUGCAAACAUGCUACAAUGGCCGGUACAGAGGGCUGCGAAACCGCAAGGUGGAGCGAAUCUCAAAAAGCCGGUCUCAGUUCGGAUUGGGGUCUGCAACUCGACCCCAUGAAGUCGGAGUCGCUAGUAAUCGCGAAUCAGCAACGUCGCGGUGAAUACGUUCCCGGGCCUUGUACACACCGCCCGCCACGUCAGGAAAGUCGGCAACACCCGAAGCCGGUGGCCCAACCCUUUUGGGAGGGAGCCGUCGAAGGUGGGGCGGGCGAUUCGGACGAAGUCGUAACAA
rnacentral:rRNA from 1 species